CACCUAUUGUGAUACCCCCUGACAUUGCGCCGCGGACUGCCACCACCCACACAACACCGCCUCUGUCUUCAAAUGCUGAUCGGUGGUGGUGAACUGCAGGACUUGAUGUCAUGGCAUUGAUGACUAUGGAGGUGGUGGCAGUAAUAUUGGUAGGUGUGCAGUAUUGCUGCUGUGGUGGUGAUGGUCAUACAUCACCUUUCUAGUUUAUAGUGAUAUAGUGAUGGGGAGGGGAUUAAUGUGGUCAUUUCAGAUAAUUCUGACAACCACUCCAAUCUUGCUCCAUCUCUCCACUGGCCGCACGAGACUUGCUGGCCUAGCGGUGCCCUCACUACGCCACUCCCGUCUCCCCCCGCGGCACACGACACAGCUGGCAGACAAACGACGACGCAACGUUUCCCCGGUCGGCGAGGUACGGCAGAGAGGAGGAAAAGAUAGAGGCAGAAAAAAAAAUAGAAAGAGGCAAAAUCUCUAGUGACAAAGGACUGGCAGAAGAGUACGAGAGCGGCGGGAAGAGCGGGAGGAAGUUGUGGGUGGGGUGGGGGAAGGAAACACUUGCACAAAAGGCGUAUGCCAGGGUGGCGAGCAGCACCUCCUUCCUCCUCCCUCCUCCCGCCUCCGCCGACCCCCGCCGGGCGACGACAGAGCAGCGCACCCUGCCCAUUAUCCCGCGCCGCUGCUGCUUCGCCCUGGUAAUAAUGGCGACGUAAGAGUGUCUGUUAGUAUGCACCGUGUGACUGAGGGAGUGUGGUGCCGCGUGGGUCCCGGGGCGAGGGUCUGGCCUGAGCUGGGACGGGCCGCCCCCCCUACCGGGUGCUUCUGCAGGGAUCCAUUCAGCUUGCGGCUGAUUGUGAGUAUUGUACUUAAGCUGUUGACGUGCGUGGAAUACCUGAAUUAUAUUUAGAUCUACAGGUGAAGUGUUUUCAUCUAAAGGGGGGAACACGCGGCUGUGUGUCACGGAAUCAGAGUGCCCUACCAGGAAAUGCCGCUCCACCCGCCACACCUGCGGGACACUCGUUACGAUCACCGCUGACCAGAGAGUGGCCUGAAGGUCUACUUGAAAACUAUUACAUAUCACGACCCUGACCCACAGUGUGGUACCACGCUUUGCUGCCGCUAGGGUUUAGAUGGUCACGCAAAAAGAAUAACGACCAGUAGCAUCAUUUCCUUCGACAUACGACUUCAUUUAUCACCAGUUUUAUGUGUGGCGGAGGCCGUGGACGCAAGACUGGUGGGUGAUGAGAGACGGCCGGCGGUGUGUCAGCGAUGUUCACGCGCCUCCAGGAAGGAAUCAAUCAUAAGAAAACACCUGUCCUUAGCCGGUCGAUCAACCCGAGAUCAGAAUUAAUCAGCUGGCGUCAGUCCGCGGCACACCUUCCUCCAUCCACCUGAUGAGCUGGAUACCUGUGCGGCGUCUCCACCUCAUCAAUCAUGGGAACACACAAACCUAUUGAUUCAUCCUAUACUAAAUUUUGUCCGCCAGUGAACAGCACACGGCCUAGUGACAAGAGGAUGAAAAGACAUCUGUUGAAUUUUUGCCGUUCAGUGACAAGUUUUCGUUGAAUUAAAUGAAAUAAUAAUUAAAAGCCGCAAAUGAAUUGUGGAAGGACGAAAGCUGUUGUUAUAUUAUUGCUCACACACACACACACACACACACACACACACACACACACACACACACACACACACACACACACACACACACACACACACACACACACACACACACACACACACACACACACACACACACACACAGAGCAC